UACGUAGGGUGCAAGCGUUGUCCGGAAUUACUGGGCGUAAAGAGCUCGUAGGUGGUUUGUCGCGUUGUUCGUGAAAACUCACAGCUUAACUGUGGGCGUGCGGGCGAUACGGGCAGACUGGAGUACUGCAGGGGGAGACUGGAAUUCCUGGUGUAGCGGUGGAAUGCGCAGAUAUCAGGAGGAACACCGGUGGCGAAGGCGGGGUCUCUGGGCAGUAACUGACGCUGGAGGAGCGAAAAGCGUGGGGGAGCGAACAGG
rnacentral:rRNA from 1 species